rnacentral:rRNA from 1 species
UUUAAUAAUUUUAUUAUAUUUUUAUAUUUAUUAAUUUUUUAAAUAAAUUAAUAUUGUUUUUAUUAUUGAAAUAGAAAAAAUUUAUUUAAUUAUAGAGUAUUAGUAUUGUGAAAGAAAAUUGAAAUAAUUGAAAAUUUAAAAAUAUUAAAGAAAAAUUAAUUUUUUGUACCUUGUGUAUCAGGAUUUAUUAAAUAAAAAUUAAAUAUUUAAUUUUCUCGAAUUUAAAAGAGUUAAUUAAUUAUAAAUUUUAUUGUAAAAUAAAUAUUUAUAAUAAUUAAUUAGUAAUGAAACGUUAUUCGUUUUUAAAUAUAUCUAGUUUUUUAAGAAAAAAAUUUAAUUUUUUUAUUUAUUUUUAUUAUUUUAUUUUUUUAAUUUAAUAUAAUAAAUAAUUAAAAUUUAAGGGGAUAAGCUUUUAAGUUUAUUUUUAUAAAUAAAUAUUUAUAUUUAUAAUUUAUAGGAUUAGAAAUUUCUAUUUUUAAAAUAAUGUUAUAAUUAAUUAUAAUUUUUAUAUAAUUUAUAUUUAUUUUAAAUUUUUUAUUAAAAUUUAAUUUUUAAUUUUUUAUAAUUAGUAAUAAUGAUAAAAUUAGUAUAAUUUUUUGUAUAGUUAAAUUUAUAAAUUGAGGUUAAAUUAAGGAAUUCGGCAAAUUUAUUUUUCACCUGUUUAAUAAAAACAUGGUUUUUUGAAUAUAAUUUAAAAUCAGGCCUGCCCACUGAUAUUAUUAAAUGGCCGCGGUAUUUUGACCGUGCAAAGGUAGCAUAAUCAUUAGUUUUUUAAUUGAAAGCUGGAAUGAAUGGUUUAAUGAGAAAAUAGCUGUCUCAAUUUAAUUUUAUUAAAAUUUUAUAUUUAAGUUAAAAAGCUUAAAUUAUCUUAAAAGACGAGAAGACCCUAUAGAGUUUUAUAUUAAAUAAAAUUAAAAGAUUAGGAUUAAGGUAUUUUAAUUUAAUUUAAUAUUUAAUUGGGGUGAUUAAAAAAUUUAUUAAACUUUUUUUUUAUUUUUACAUUAAUUAGUGAAUAUUUGAUCCAUUUUUUAUGAUUAUAAGAUUAAAUUACCUUAGGGAUAACAGCGUAAUUUUUUUUAAGAGUUCUUAUCGAAAAAAGAGAUUGCGACCUCGAUGUUGGAUUAAAAUUAAUAUUAGGUGUAGAAGCUUAAUAAUUAGGUCUGUUCGACCUUUAAAAUUUUACAUGAUCUGAGUUUAGACCGGUGUGAGCCAGGUCGGUUUCUAUCUUUAAAUAAAUAAAAUAUUUUAGUACGAAAGGACCAAAUAUUUGAUUAAAAAUUUUAUUUAUGAAUAAAAUU